AGAACGAACGCUGGCGGCAUGCCUAAUACAUGCAAGUCGAACGAACUCUUCGGAGUUAGUGGCGCACGGGUGCGUAACGCGUGGGAAUCUGCCCUUGGUUCGGAAUAACAGUUGGAAACGACUGCUAAUACCGGAUGAUGACGAAAGUCCAAAGAUUUAUCGCCAAGGGAUGAGCCCGCGUAGGAUUAGCUAGUUGGUGAGGUAAAGGCUCACCAAGGCGACGAUCCUUAGCUGGUCUGAGAGGAUGAUCAGCCACACUGGGACUGAGACACGGCCCAGACUCCGUACGGGAGGCAG
rnacentral:rRNA from 1 species